GACAGAGGGUGCAAACGUUGUUCGGAUUUACUGGGCGUAAAGCGCGUGUAGGCGGUCUUGCAAGUCGGAUGUGAAAGCCCACGGCUCAACCGUGGAAGUGCAUCCGAAACUGCAUAGCUUGAGUCUCGGAGAGGAAGGUGGAAUGCUUGGUGUAGAGGUGAAAUUCGUAGAUAUCAAGCAGAACACCUGCGGCGAAGGCGGCCUUCUGGACGAUGACUGACGCUGAGACGCGAAAGCGUGGGGAGCAAACAGG
rnacentral:rRNA from 1 species